rnacentral:lncRNA from 1 species
GUGUCUCUCACCAUAGCAGCUUAAAACAAAGCCCACAUGCCCUCAUGACACUAAUGAAUUUGUAGAGGCCCUGCAUCAGUCAGGAGUGUAUUCAACUUAAGAAAAUGGAGCAUGUGACCAGAAGCCUGAGGAGGCGGUGAUUGUGGUGAUCUGUCACCGAAGUCCAGCCCCCGUCCCUCAGGGGGCUUUCUCCCCCUCCCCCUUUCCAGCACUUGAUCCUCUGCCAGCUGCUCUCCUGUGGGUCUGCAAGAGCCCAACUGUUGGGAGAACAAUUUGAUUUAUCCUCUGGUCUCCACGGGUUGUGAGCAGCACACGUGUUCCCUGCCAGAGCGAUCGUGUACGUGUCUGAAGGACAAAGAGGGGCAGGCUGGCUCUCUACCCUGGGGUCCCAGGCCAAGCAGUGAAAGAACGGCCUAA